rnacentral:misc_RNA from 1 species
CCGAUUUUAGCGAACCUGACCUUUGGUUAUGGUCUCGCGAAAACUUUAUAUUUAAAACCCCACUCAUAAAAAAAAAAAAUUUUUUCAUAUAAAUAAAUAAAGA